rnacentral:tRNA from 1 species
GGAGCGAUGGCAGAGUGGUCGAACGCGGCGGUCUUGAAAACCGUUGUACCGCAAGGUACCGGGGGUUCAAAUCCCUCUCGCUCCG